GACGAACGCUGGCGGCGUGCCUAACACAUGCAAGUCGAACGGAGCUAUUGACUUCGGUUGAUAGCUUAGUGGCGAACGGGUGAGUAACGCGUGAGCAACCUGUCUUUCAGAGGGGGAUAACAACGAGAAAUCGUUGCUAAUACCGCAUAAGACCACACUGUCGCAUGGCAGAGGGGUAAAAGGAGCAAUCCGCUGAUUGAGGGGCUCGCGUCCCAUUAGAUAGUAGGUGAGGUAACGGCUCACCUAGUCUGCGAUGGGUAGCCGAGCUGAGAGGCUGAACGGCCACACUGGAACUGAGACACGGUCCAGACUCCUACGGGAGGCAGCAGUGGGGAAUAUUGGGCAAUGGGCGAAAGCCUGACCCAGCAACGCCGCGUGAGGGAAGAAGGUCUUCGGAUUGUAAACCUCUGUUCUUGGUGACGAAAAGAUGACGGUAGCCAAGGAGAAAGCCCCGGCUAACUACGUG
rnacentral:rRNA from 1 species